rnacentral:rRNA from 1 species
UAAUACGAACUGUGCGAACGUUAUUCGGAAUCACUGGGCUUAAAGGGUGCGUAGGCGGUUAUCUAAGUCACGUGUGAAAUCUUCCGGCUCAACCGGAAAACUGCGCGUGAUACUGGAUGACUUGAGUGAGGUAGGGGUGUGUGGAACUUCCGGUGGAGCGGUGAAAUGUGUAGAGAUCGGAAGGAACGCCAGCAGCGAAAGCGGCACACUGGGCCUUUUCUGACGCUGAGGCACGAAAGCUAGGGGAGUGAACGGGAUUAGAUACCCCGGUAAUCCUAGCCGUAAACACUGAACACUGGAGGAAGGGGGUUUCGGCCUUCUUUCUCGUAGCGAAAGCGUUAAGUGUUCCGCCUGGGGAGUAUGGUCGCAAGGCUG